AGACUUGCCUCAUCUUGCCCAUUUGGACCUCAGUGGCAACUCCCUCUCGGGCAUAAUCCCGUCAAGUAUUGGCACUCUCGCGAAACUUGAAUACCUGGAUCUAUCCAGCAACUAUCUUGAUGGAUUUAUCCCACCAUCCCUAGAUUUGCCCCAUCUUGUCCAUCUAGACCUCAGGCACUUUCUCCCUUGGCGGCGGUGCCGGUUUCGGUCCAAAAUGGGCGUCCACUUGGGCCCGCACUAUGGCUUCGUUUUGCUCCUCGGUCACUGAUACGUCUUCAACGUAUCUAUAAUUUUUUAUUGUUCCAUGCUAUAUUAUAUUCUGUUUUGGAUAUUAAUGGGCUUUAUUAUACACUUUUAUAUUAUUUUUGGG
rnacentral:rRNA from 1 species